UACGUAGGGGGCUAGCGUUGUCCGGAAUCAUUGGGCGUAAAGCGCGUGUAGGCGGUCCGGUAAGUCCGCUGUGAAAGUCGGGGGCUCAACCCUCGAAUGCCGGUGGAUACUGUCGGGCUAGAGUGCGGAAGAGGCGAGUGGAAUUCCUGGUGUAGCGGUGAAAUGCGCAGAUAUCAGGAGGAACACCUGCGGCGAAGGCGGGUUGCUGGGCUGAUACUGACGCUGAGGCGCGAAAGCUAGGGGAGCGAACGGG
rnacentral:rRNA from 1 species